GUGAAAUGUUGGGUUAAGUCCCGCAACGAGCGCAACCCUUAUCCUUUGUUGCCAGCGAUUAGGUCGGGAACUCAAAGGAGACUGCCAGUGAUAAACUGGAGGAAGGUGGGGAUGACGUCAAGUCAUCAUGGCCCUUACGACCAGGGCUACACACGUGCUACAAUGGCGCAUACAAAGAGAAGCGACCUCGCGAGAGCAAGCGGACCUCAUAAAGUGCGUCGUAGUCCGGAUUGGAGUCUGCAACUCGACUCCAUGAAGUCGGAAUCGCUAGUAAUCGUGGAUCAGAAUGCCACGGUGAAUACGUUCCCGGGCCUUGUACACACCGCCCGUCACACCAUGGGAGUGGGUUGCAAAAGAAGUAGGUAGCUUAACCUUCGGGAGGGCGCUUACCACUUUGUGAUUCAUGACUGGGGUGAAGUCGUAACAAGGUAACCGUAGGGGAACCUGCGGUUGGA
rnacentral:rRNA from 1 species